rnacentral:lncRNA from 1 species
CAACUUAUAUUGAGUUAUAUGUACAAUUUACGUCGUCAACUGAUGUACUUCCGUCCGAUGUUCGAGAUGUAUACACGACCCAUGGCCGACACUCGGUUAGCGGGUUACAAAAUACGGAACAGCCCAUGUUCGGUAGUGGUGUCGAAUGCACAUCCCCCGCAAGACACUCUGUCGGUGGAUGGGACAUGUACGUCUGUGGCUCGACGUUUGACGCUGGAAAUACGUACUGGGGAACUGUAUCAAGUUCUAGUGGAUGACAAUCUACAUCCAAUUGGGGACGUUAUCAAAUGCCUAG